UACGGGGGGAGCAAGCGUUGUUCGGAUUUACUGGGCGUAAAGGGCGUGUAGGCGGCCACCGCAAGUCAGUUGUGAAAUCUCCGGGCUUAACCCGGAAAGGUCAACUGAUACUGCGGGGCUAGAGUGCAGAAGGGGCAACUGGAAUUCUCGGUGUAGCGGUGAAAUGCGUAGAUAUCGAGAGGAACACCUGCGGCGAAGGCGGGUUGCUGGGCUGACACUGACGCUGAACUGCGAAAGCUAGGGGAGCGAACGGG
rnacentral:rRNA from 1 species